rnacentral:tRNA from 1 species
ACGGUAGUCGUCUAGUGGCCUAGGACUCUCCCGCUGAGGGGGCAACGUCGGUUCGAAUCCGACCUACCGUGC